AAGCUGAUGGAAAAACCUAACUAUCUGGAGCAUUGUCAAUCUCGUGGCAGAAAGAAAAGGACAAGGCAAAUGGUGCCCUGACUUCCAGAACUCAGCACAAAAGUGACCAACAUCACUUCUCUGACUAAAGCAAGUCAUAUAGCCAUUCCUAAGGUCAACAGCAUGGGGAUAUAUCCUCCUACAGAGAAGAGCGUGACACAGGAAAGAAACUGAAACGUUUAGUGAAUGAGAACACAUCACCACCUCCUCCUAGGAUGACUUCUUUCCCAGAGCCAUGCUCCCCUUCUGGCACCUUCAUGAUGACCGCGUUUGCAAAUAUACUCCACCACCUUCUGGGGAUGCAAACUGGUGCAGCCGCUGUGGAAGACAGUAUGGAGGCUCGUCCAAACAUUAACAUAGAAGUACCAUAGGAUCCAGCAAUUCCACUUCUGGAUUUACACCCAGAAGAAGCGAAAGCAGUGUCUCAAAGAGGUCGUGUUUAUAGCAGCUUUAUUCACAGUAGCGCAGAGAUGAAAGCAGCCCAAAGGUCUAUCAGUGGGUGAGUGAAUAAAUAAAAUGUGGCAUGUACAUAUGAUGAAAU